GGGGUUGUGGCUCAGUGGUAGAGCGCUUGCCUAGCUUGCAUGAGGCACUGGGUUCAAUUCUCAGCACCACA
rnacentral:tRNA from 1 species